rnacentral:rRNA from 1 species
UACGUAGGGUGCGAGCGUUUGUCCGGAAUUAUUGGGCGUAAAGAGCUUGUAGGCGGUUUGUCGCGUCUGCUGUGAAAAUCCGGGGCGUCAACCCCGGACUUGCAGUGGGUACGGGCAGACUAGAGUGUGGUAGGGGAGACUGGAAUUCCUGGUGUAGCGGUGAAAUGCGCAGAUAUCAGGAGGAACACCGAUGGCGAAGGCAGGUCUCUGGGCCACUACUGACGCUGAGAAGCGAAAGCGUGGGGAGCAAACAGG